UUUCCCCUGCCGUUCUCGUGAUGGGUUGCUUUCUCUCGAACCGUUUGUCCAUUCCGGGAUGUUUGCUUCGGUGGCUCUGUGCCAGCCCUCGCUACGGCGAGAAGGACGCCUUCAGCCUCCAGUGAACGACCCACCUGUCCAACAGGUUCGAUGGACGUUGCUCACACGAAAUGGCGGGGGAUUU
rnacentral:other from 1 species